GUGGGUGUAACUCAAUGGUAGAGUGCUUGCCUAGCAUAUGUGAGGUCUGGGUUUGAUCCCCAGCAUUAUCA
rnacentral:tRNA from 1 species